AUAAUAUUUUUUAGUAAUGACAUUUUUAAUGACUCGUGUAAGGGCCAGUAUUGUUUUGAUAUGAACAUGCGAUGCUCCAUGGUGAUAUCGCUUCCCGGAAUAUUUCAGCAAGUAGCACCCAAAAGUUGAUUACUGAUAGGAUGUGUUGGUUGCUGUCUGCUGCUCUCAUCAGACUUAACAAUAUUGGAAAUAUUCGAGUUCCUGAAUCCCGAGAAGCAAGACGUUGUGCUACGUUUCUCACGGCCUAUGGCAUUCAGAGUUGAUGUGUGUUUGACGAAAAGGCACUGAAUGACAUAUUCUCGGUGUCGAAAUGAACAGGACAUAAACACACUCUUCGCAGAAAUCUCAUGGUUUGGCCUGUUAAUGUAUUAUUUCACGAGUCAACAGUUCGCAACGAUGAAGAGGUUGAGUCGUGAAGAUCCGCGAUACCUGCAUAUUUAAAACUGGCAAACUCUGUUUCCGUAUCACAAUGUGCUUGAUUAUUAUAUAGCUAAUCAACUGCAUCUCACACUCUCGGACAUGGCGAAAUUCGUUAAAUUCAAUUCACAAUCAAUUCGUUUGUAGUAUAUUAACGUUGUAAUUAAAUUUUAAAGUUACAAUCUGUGAUAUAUCAAAAAUGUAUUGUUUUAAUAAUAUGU